rnacentral:lncRNA from 1 species
AUGGUCUCUAACCUUAGUCAUAGUUGCUUCUUUCCCUCCCUAUUGCUUAUUUAUAGCUUCAACAACAUUUUAUUCAACAUCUGUUCCAUGCCAGCCACUUAUUUUAUUUAUUACAUUCUUACAGUAAAUCAACGAAGAAGAAGAAAAAAAGAAACCCUUGUUACCCAGGCUGGAGUGCAGUGGCGCUAUCUCAGCUCACCACAACCUCCACCUCCCAGAUUCAAGGUGGACUCACUUGUUAAGAUUCUCUGCAAGUUAGAGAUUGAAGCCAAAGGCAAGAUGAAACUGGGAUUUGCAGGGAUCAAAAGCCCUAAGGGAUGUGGCCGUGAGUAUGUAGGUAGCAGCUGUAGCUUGGAAGACGGUUCUUAUUCAAACCUACACCCACCUGUCUUUGGCUCCUGUGCUUCUCUGGCUCAGGGUUUUCUGAGGUCAUAGAAGCUAGCUCAGGUGGGGUUCAGAGAAAGCCAGAAGAGCUGGUGAGUUUGUGUCCUCAAGGACAACUCUCACAUAAUGAGGACAGUGGUUGAUGAAUAAAAAUCUCAGCUUCUUUGUGCCUUGGUGGAGAAAUCUGAGGUGUGUUCUACACAGACAAUUAGAGGUUCCCCGUAAAGACGAACGCAGUUGCACCCAGGAGUAUCCCAUUCAUGAAUGCAAAACUUGUUGGAUUUUAUCCCUUCCUGGACUCACCUUCCCAUACUUUCAUCCAGCUCUUUGGCAUCAUCUCCAUAAUAUACUAGUUGCACCUAUCCUAUCUCUCACCCUAACACCCUCAUUGCUGGUGCUUUCUGAUAAGGUGUAGGUGAAAGGAGAAGUACUGGCAUCUACUAGCCCUACCAACUGAAAAACAUGUCAGCCAAUAGUAGCUAAAAUAAUUUGAAUCCAGUUCUCAUUUGUAAAGAAUUGUAAUAAAAAUAAUUAUUUAUAAAAAAUAAUGUUUAAUGUUGAGUUUCAGCCAGGAAUUAACUCAAGAUACACUGUGAAAGCCAAAAGAUUUCCUUGGCUUUUUUAAAGAGACUACAUUUCUUGCAGCUGGAGCACAAACUAGUACUGAAAAUAAAGCGGAAACUUUAAUUGUAAGAGUGAUGAAAUUACAGAGCAGACAUUCA